CUCCCUAUGAUGUAUGUAAAUGUGAAAGAGUGACAAAUGUUCGCUCGUUGAUGAUAUAAAAAGCAACCAAGUCCACAGAUUUAUCUUCUGCUCAAUAUCCCAUAUGUAAUACAUUCAGAGUGCAUAAUCUCUCACAACACAACAUCAAUCCAAGAAUAGUGAGUGAGUGGCCAACUGCACCAUGAGUGACCCUAAAUAUGCUUAUCCUUAUCCUGCUCAAGGUACCUUAUUUGUUGUUAUUAUUUUAUCAUUGAUCUGUUCUGGAAAAAUGCUUUCUUUGUGAUUUUCUGUGUUAAAAAAAAAAAAAAAAAAACACACACACAUAUAAAUAUACCCUUUUAAUUACGAUUGAGGAGAAGUGUUAAUGAAUUGAUAAUUUUGUGAUGGCGUGCAGGAUAUUAUCAAGGACCCCCAGUGAUGGCACCUCCUCAGUAUGCAGCAGCUCCACCACCCAGGAGAGAGCCUGGUUUCCUUGAGGGAUGGUAAGUAAUUAUCUAUUUCCAUUUCAUGCAUGUUCUCUUAUGCAUAUCUGCUCAUGUUUCUUUAUUUUUCUUUAGAAUUGGGUUUAUAUUUGUAUGAUCUAAUCUCUCUCUCUCUCUCUCUUUUUAAUUUUUCAUUUGUUUUGGGCUGUAUGCUGUUGCGGUUAUAUGCUGUUGCAGUUUGGCUGCUUUAUGUUGCUGCUGCCUUCUUGACGAGUGCUGCUGCGAUCCCUCUAUAAUCUUUAUCGACUAAUUAAUGAUGAUGAUAAUAAUAAUAAUAAUAAUCCGGUAAUUUCAGUGUUAGUAAUUUCACCUACUUUAUGUCUAUUGGAAUAUAUAUAGUGUCAAUGAUGAACUUGCCUGAAGCAUGAACUUGCUCAUUUCUGGGGUCAUUAUAAAUUUUUUUGCCUUUUUUUUUAAAAAAUUUUUCUAUCUGUUAGAGUCGUUCAUGCAAUUCAGGAGGAUUUCCGCUAGGAUUUGCUCUGGGUGUAAUGUUGGUCUUGGUGCUUGAUUGUAUAACUUUUUUUUUCCCCCCUUGAAAUUUUCAUUUUGUGGGUUGAUAAUAAGAAGGUAAGAAAAUUAUGGUCCUUGUGGAUCAAUAUUUUGUGG
rnacentral:lncRNA from 1 species